rnacentral:rRNA from 1 species
CCAUGAAGCUGGAUUCGCUAGUAAUCGCGCAUCAGCCACGGCGCGGUGAAUACGUUCCCGGGCCUUGUACACACCGCCCGUCAAGCCAUGGAAGCCGGGGGGUGCCUGAAGUGCGCUGCCGCAAGGAGCGUCCCAGGGUAAAACCGGUGACUGGGGCUAAGUCGUAACAAGGUACC